AUUGAACGCUGGCGGCAUGCCUUACACAUGCAAGUCGAACGGCAGCGCGGGGCAACCUGGCGGCGAGUGGCGAACGGGUGAGUAAUAUAUCGGAACAUACCCUAGAGUGGGGGAUAACGUAGCGAAAGUUACGCUAAUACCGCAUACGCACUAAGGUGGAAAGUGGGGGAUUCGCAAGAACCUCAUGCUCAUGGAGUGGCCGAUAUCUGAUUAGCUAGUUGGUGAGGUAAAGGCUCACCAAGGCAACGAUCAGUAGCUGGUUUGAGAGAACGACCAGCCACACUGGAACUGAGACACGGUCCAGACUCCUACGGAGGCAGCAGUGGGGAAUUUUGGGACAAUGGGCGAAAGCCUGAUGCAGCGACGCCGCGUGGAGGAUGAAGGAUUUCGGUCUGUAAACUCCUGUCAGUAGGGAAGAGAAUGGACGGUACCUACUGAGGAAGCUUCGGCUAACUACGUGCCAGCAGCCGCGGUAAU
rnacentral:rRNA from 1 species